UGGCGGCCUCGGGUCCAUCCCGAGGCCACGCCCGUCUGAGGGUCGGCGAGUCAGACAAGCUAUCGCCUCCUUUCGUGGCAGCAGGCUUCCCCACAGAAAACGUCUUUUUCUAUCGAUCAUUUCUUGCUCUGGAGUGACGAAGAAUCGGGUCGCUAGAAUGUGGUUGGGGCCGUGGAGGCGCUUUGGGUUUUCGCGGAUCGCUUGCGAUCCCCGUGACUUCAAGUGCAUGCUGCGCCGUCUGUCAUCUCGUGACGUCUCGGUGCUCGGAACUGCUCUUGUGUUUCGGGCACUGGCGACAUAAGCGAGGGAGAAAUGUUAUUUCUCUCCUAACCGACGCCGCCGGCCGUCGUGCUGGACUCGGAUUGAUCGGAUAUCAUCGAGCCGCCGGCGUGCUGUAGGCUGCGGGGUGGUGGAAGAAAUGAAGCUCAUGGCGGCGCCCAGUUUCAAGCAAAGCAGCUACGCGUGCACCCGCACAGCGCCGCUUGCUUUUGUUUCAUAUAUCCGACCUCAGAUCGGACGAGAUUACCCGCUGAAUUUAAGCAUAUAACUAAGCGGAGGAAAAGAAACUAACAAGGAUUCCCUCAGUAACGGCGAGUGAAGCGGGAAUAGCCCAGCACCGAAUCCCUCAGUGUCAUGCUGACGGGAACUGUGGUGUGUGGGACGCCACCAGUCGCAUCAGAGGGCGCCGAAGUCCUCCUGAUCGGGGCUUCACCCAGAGCGGGUGUAAGGCCUUUGCGGGUGCCUCUCUGUGCGGCCGCGAGCGUCUCAGGAGUCGGGUUGUUUGGGAAUGCAGCCCAAAGCGGGUGGUAAACUCCAUCUAAGGCUAAAUACUGGCACGAGUCCGAUAGCGGA
rnacentral:rRNA from 1 species